rnacentral:rRNA from 1 species
GGCGGCAUGGAUUAGGCAUGCAAGUCGAGCGACAAGUUCUUCUUCGGAAGAAUGGAGGAGCGGCAAACGGGGUAGUUAUGCGUCGGUUACAAUCCCUCAGGACUGGGAUAGCUACGGGAAACUGUAGGUAAUACCGGAUAAUCUCUCAGGAGCAAAUAAUUUAUUGCCUGAGGACUGGCUGACGUGGUACUAGGUAGUUGGUGAGGUAACGGCUCACCAAGCCUACGAUGCCUAGGGGGUGUGAGAGCAUGGCCCCCACCACUGGGACUGAGACACUGCCCAGACAUCUACGGAUGGCUGCAGUCGAGAAUCUUCGGCAAUGGACGAAAGUCUGACCGAGCGAUGCCGCGUGCGGGAUGACGGCCCUUGGGUUGUAAACCGCUGUCAGAGGGGAUGAAAGCCUUCGGGUUUGACAGAGCCUCAGAGGAAGCACGGGCUAAGUACGUGCCAGCAGCCGCGGUAACACGUACUGUGCGAACGUUAUUCGGAAUCACUGGGCUUAAAGGGUGCGUAGGCGGCUAGAUUAGUAGGAUGUGAAAUCCCACAGCUCAACUGUGGAACUGCGUUCUAAACUGUCUAGCUUGAGUAAGAUAGGGGUAUACGGAACUUCCAGUGGAGCGGUGAAAUGUGUUGAUAUUGGAAGGAACACCGGUGGCGAAGGCGGUAUACUGGGUCUUUACUGACGCUGAGGCACGAAAGCUAGGGGAGCGAACGGGAUUAGAUACCCCGGUAGUCCUAGCUGUAAACGUUGAGUACUAGCUGGAGGGGACU